rnacentral:rRNA from 1 species
GACGAACGCUGGCGGCGUGCUUAACACAUGCAAGUCGAACGGAAAGGCCCUGCUUGCAGGGUACUCGAGUGGCGAACGGGUGAGUAACACGUGGGUGAUCUGCCCUGCACUUCGGGAUAAGCCUGGGAAACUGGGUCUAAUACCGGAUAGGAGCCAUUUUUAGUGUGAUGGUUGGAAAGUUUUUUCGGUGUAGGAUGAGCUCGCGGCCUAUCAGCUUGUUGGGGGGGUAAUGGCCUACCAAGGCGGCGACGGGUAGCGGGCCUGAGAGGGUGGACGGCGACAUUGGGACUGAGAGACGGCCCAGACUCCUACGGGAGGCAGCAGGGGGGAAUAUUGCACAAGGGGCGCAAGCCUGAUGCAGCGACGCCGCGUGGGGGAUGACGGCCUUCGGGUUGUAAACUCCUUUCGCUAGGGACGAAGCUUGUUGUGACGGUACCUAGAUAAGAAGCACCGGCUAACUACGUG